rnacentral:rRNA from 1 species
UGCGUAGGCGGACUGGUAAGUCAGUGGUGAAAUCCUGCAGCUUAACUGUGGAACUGCCAUUGAAACUGUCAGUCUUGAGUCAGGUUGAGGUAGGCGGAAUGUGUAAUGUAGCGGUGAAAUGCUUAGAUAUUACACAGAACACCGAUUGCGUAGGCAGCUUACUGGACCUGCACUGACGCUGAGGCACGAAAGCGUGGGGAGCGAACAGGAUUAGAUACCCUGGUAGUCC